AUUGAACGCUGGCGGCAUGCCUUACACAUGCAAGUCGAACGCGAAAGUAGGGGCAACCCUGCGAGUAAAGUGGCGAACGGGUGAGUAAUGCAUCGGAACAUUUCCAGUAGCGGGGGAUAACCUCGAGAAAUCGAGGCUAAUACCGCAUACGUCCUACGGGAGAAAGCGGGGGACCGCAAGGCCUCGCACUUUUGGAGUGGCCGAUGCCGGAUUAGCUAGUUGGCGGGGUAAAAGCCCACCAAGGCGACGAUCCGUAGCUGGUCUGAGAGGAUGAUCAGCCACACUGGGACUGAGACACGGCCCAGACUCCUACGGGAGGCAGCAGUGGGGAAUUUUGGACAAUGGGCGCAAGCCUGAUCCAGCCAUGCCGCGUGAGUGAAGAAGGCCUUCGGGUUGUAAAGCUCUUUCGGCCGGGACGAAAUCGCACCCUUUAGUACGGGGUGUGGAUGACGGUACCGGAAGAAGAAGGACCGGCUAACUACGUGCCAGCAGCCGCCGUAA
rnacentral:rRNA from 1 species